UCCUCCUUACAGAGGCAGUCCCGAUAGAGUGCCCAGCACUACCUGAUGGCAACUAUCAGCAGGGGUUGCGCUCGUUAUGGGACUUAACCCGACACCUCACGGCACGAGCUGACGACAACCAUGCAGCACCUAGUUUCGUGCCCCGAAGGGAAGAUCAGUUUCCUGAUCCGUCACUAACUUUCAAGCCCGGGUAAGGUUCCUCGCGUAUCAUCGAAUUAAACCACAUGUUCCUCCGCUUGUGCGGGCCCCCGUCAAUUCCUUUGAGUUUCAUUCUUGCGAACGUACUCCCCAGGUGGAUAGCUUAUCGAUUUCUCUAAGUCACCGACUGUGUAUCGCCGACAACGAGCUAUCAUCGUUUACUGCGUGGACUAC
rnacentral:misc_RNA from 1 species